GGGCGCGUAGUUCAUUGGUAGAACGCUUCUCUUAUAAAGAAGAGGUAGAAGGUUCGAUCCCUUCCGCGCCCACCA
rnacentral:tRNA from 1 species